rnacentral:rRNA from 1 species
AUGGUUUUCAAACUCGUCUUCAGAAAGGCUUUCGAUUCUGUCGCCUGGCCUGCCCUCGAUAGGAUCUUAGAUGCCCGUGGCUUCUGUCAAACCUUUCGAACCUGGAUUCAAAACAUCUUACACACGGGCAGAACUACUGUCCUCCUAAAUGGCAUUCCCGGCAACUGGAUUCAGUGCAAGAAAGGCCUGCGGCAGGGUGACGCGGCCUCGCCUUACCUAUUCCUCAUCGUCGCAUAUCUCCAGCAACUCAUCAUACAAAACCCCGAGCCAGAUCUCCUCCACCAUCCCAUCUUCACCCACCUGCCUCCCACCAUCCUCCAAUACGCCGACGAUACGCUCAUUAUCGCAGCCGCCUCCCCACUUGCUGCCGCAGCCCUCAAAAAAAUCCUGAAUAACUUUGCGCAAGCUACCGGCCUCACCAUCAACUUCUCCAAAACCACCAUGGCUACCCUACACACAGAUGAAACUGUAGCUGAUGCUGCUGCUCUCGCCAUGGGAUGCUCGCGAGCUCCCUUCCCUCAAACUUAUCUGGGACUCCCCCUUGCUCCCACCAAGCCCCCCUCCAACGCGUUAGCCCCCUUGAUUGCACGCUCUCGGAAAUUACUAACGGGUUGGCGCGCAAAACUUUUGGACAAAGGUGAUCAGCUCAUCCUCAUAUCUGCGGUCCUCGACUCUCUCCUUACAUACUUCAUGUCAGUAUUCCGUAUCCCAAAAAAGACCCUCAAAGUCAUCGACUCUCUAAGGAGGUCAUUUUUCUGGGCUGGUGAAGAUGCCUGCUCGGGUGCUUAG